AUUGAACGCUGGCGGAAUGCUUUACACAUGCAAGUCGAACGGCAGCACGGGGGCAACCCUGGUGGCGAGUGGCGAACGGGUGAGUAAUACAUCGGAACGUGCCCAGUCGUGGGGGAUAACGUAGCGAAAGCUACGCUAAUACCGCAUACGAUCUCUGGAUGAAAGCGGGGGACCGCAAGGCCUCGCGCGAUUGGAGCGGCCGAUGGCAGAUUAGGUAGUUGGUGGGGUAAAGGCCUACCAAGCCGACGAUCUGUAGCUGGUCUGAGAGGACGACCAGCCACACUGGGACUGAGACACGGCCCAGACUCCUACGGGAGGCAGCAGUGGGGAAUUUUGGACAAUGGGCGCAAGCCUGAUCCAGCCAUUCCGCGUGCAGGAUGAAGGCCCUCGGGUUGUAAACUGCUUUUGUACGGAACGAAAAGGCGCUGGUUAAUACCCGGCGCUGAUGACGGUACCGUAAGAAUAAGCACCGGCUAACUACGUGCCAGCAGCCGCGGUAAUAC
rnacentral:rRNA from 1 species